rnacentral:sRNA from 1 species
AGGAAUUUUAUUGAUUUUAAUGUGAUUUCAGUUAGUGGGUCCAUGAGCUGUAGGAGUUUUCUAGUGGAACCGUAGUGUUCUUUACAUAUAGAUCAUAUCACCUGCAAAUGAGAAUACUCUGACUGCUUUCCUUCAUAUGGACAUGCCUUUCCAUCUUUCUAUUUUCUGUUUUGGAUAAGACUUCACAUACUACUUGGAUUAGAUGAAAAGAUUGAACACCUGUGACUUAUUACUUAUUUUAGUGAAAUGCAUUAAGAUAUUCUCCAGUUAGGAUGCUGUUGGCCUUGUAUAUUGCCAUUAUAUUGUUAAGGUAUAUCUUCUCCAUAUCCCAGAUUCUCCAGGACUAUUUUGUGUAUCACUGUGAGAUUUUUCCAAAGAAACUGUCAGCCUCUAGUGCAAUGAUCAUGUGUUUCCUGUUCUUGGUUUCAUGUGGUGUAUUGUUUAUUCAUUUGUAUUUGUUGAAACAUUCUCGCUCUCUGGAGUCAAGCCAGCUUGAUCAUGGCUGCGAAGAGAUACCAUGAGCAAGGGAACUUUUCGAAGAAAGAGUUUAUUGGGGCUUACAAUUUCAAGGAUCAUGAGUCUGUGAUCAGUAUGCAGGGGUACAUGGCAGCAGGCUGUGAAGAGACACCAUGACAAAGGGAACUUAUAGAAGAGACAGUUUAUUGGGGCUUACAGUUUCAAGGAUUCUGAGUCUAUGAUUAUCAUGCUGAGGUACAUGGCAGCAGGUAGGUCACCAUGUUUCUAGAGAACUAGCUGAGAUCUUACAUCUUCGUCUGCAAGUUGGAGACAGAGAAAGUGAGCGUUAAGUAUAAAUGGAAUUUAAUUUGGAAACCUCAAAGCCCAAUCCCACUAUACUCCUCCAACCAAUACAUAUUUUAUAAUUGUUCCCGCACAUUUCCUCUAACAAGAAACCAAACAUGCAUACAUGUGAGUUUAUGUGGACCAUUAUCAUUCAAUUCACCAUAUUCUACUCACAAUUUUCCAUACGAUCUUAAAUAUAUCAUAAGAAAAAAUGCAUUUUGCACACCUUCAAAAAUCCUUGUAGUCUUUCAAAGUCUACACAGUUCAUCCAAGGAGCUUCAUAAAACUCCAGGCAGUCCUUUAACUAUUCCCUCUACGAAAUCAAAAGGCCAAUUACACACAUCCAAUGAGUACUGCAGAAUCAUAUAUCUUAUCAUUGUCAAGGGAAAUUGGGAAGGUUGUGAGCUAAUUCAAGGCAUAAUCCCAAUAGUGCAUACUCCAAAUUCUCUACUUCUGAUAGUAGACAAAGAGAUUAGACCAGUUUCAAUUUUUCCUUAUUUAUUUCUCCCCUGACCCUUUCAGUCGUUGUAUUGUUUAUGUUACUUACUUUCCAUGAGUGUGUGUAUUUUCUGUACUUUUAAUUGUGUGGUACCACUUUGAUUCCUUUGUGCUUAGAUAGAAUGCAUGACAUUACUUCACUUUAUUAUAUUUCCUGAGGGUUGUUUUGCAUCCCAAUAUGUGGUCAAUUUUGGAGAAAGGUACACAGACUGAUAGAAAAUAUAUGUAUAGUUCAAUGUAGUUUGUUAGGUUCAUUUGCCUGAUGAUGUACCUUAAUUCUGCGCCUCCUGCUUUGUUUAUUUGCAUGUGAUCUGUUAGGUGGUCUGAAUAGACAAUUUAAACAAAUCACAAGCACUAUUAUAAUUAAUCUGUCAUUUCAUAUCUAUCUGAUAAUGUAUAUUUUUAAAUUUGGGAAGCUUGUGUUUAAUAUGUGUAUGUUUAGAAUUGUAGUAUCUUUUUGUAAUUGCAGAGUAUGAAAUGAAUUUCCUUACAUCUUGUGGACAGGAUGAGUUUGAAAUCUAUUCUGUCAGCUACAUAGACAAAGUGAAUAGAAUUACUAGGGGCCAUGGUUCUUAGUUCGGUUUCACUAGUAUACCCUCUAUAUCUCUCAUUAUGGUAAUCCUGUUUAUGGCUUAAUAUAUGUCUGUUUACUGGGGAGUUGAGUUUUGUGAUAUGUAAAUAUUUUUCAAACCUCUGUAUUAAUUUUGUCAUUUUUUUUUAAUUUUUGACUUUUUAAUCGCCUUCUUUUGAUUGACUGUCCUAGUGGUGUUAAUUUAUUUCCUGUGACCUCUGGUAUUUUAUCCUUCCCUGUAAACUAUAGUAUUCCUAUUAGGAUCCUCUAUAGAGCUGGAUUACUGGUUAUACAUAGUUUUUAAUUAAUUUAUAAUAUCCCUUAAUCUGCAGAGUAGCUGAGCAUCUGCCUGUCUUGCAUGGAAUUAGGUCUAAUUUCCAAACAAUGACUCUGAACUCUUACUUACUAUGUAGCAUCUUGGCUGCUCUUUGUUCCACUUGGACAGCCCUCAGGAUCAGGCUUUCCUCUGUCUUAACCCAUGGCUGCUGUCCUCCUUCCUCUCUCCUCUCCAUCACAUCCAUUCUUCCUUUCUUCUUGGCAGCUUCUUCCUUCUUCCCCCCUUAUGAUCCUCUCUAGGAAAGCCCUCAAAAACUCACCUCCACCAUCUCACUGCUGUGCUUCCUUAUAAUCACAAUUAACUGGGAGCAGGGUCACUUUUCUGGGGGUUAACCAGUCUUACAUUCUACAAAUUAGCAUUAAAAUACAAGCUGAAUUAUAUCAAUACACCUCAGGGUUUUCUUUCAU